GCCGAUGUGGCUCAGCUGGUAGAGCAGGGCUUUCGUAAAGCCAAGGUCGGGGGUUCAAGUCCCUCCAUCGGCACCA
rnacentral:tRNA from 1 species